UGGCGGACGGGUGAGUAAUGUCUGGGAAACUGCCUGAUGGAGGGGGAUAACUACUGGAAACGGUAGCUAAUACCGCAUAACGUCGCAAGACCAAAGAGGGGGACCUUCGGGCCUCUUGCCAUCGGAUGUGCCCAGAUGGGAUUAGCUAGUAGGUGGGGUAACGGCUCACCUAGGCGACGAUCCCUAGCUGGUCCGAGAGGAUGACCAGCCACACUGGAACUGAGACACGGUCCAG
rnacentral:rRNA from 1 species